rnacentral:rRNA from 1 species
ACCGGCGCACGGGUGAGUAACGCGUAUGCAACCUACCUUUAACUGGGGCAUAGCUCGAGGAAACUCGAAUUAAUUCCCCAUAGUACAUUAUAAUAUCUCAUGAUAUAAAUGUUAAAGAUUUAUCGGUUAAAGAUGGGCAUGCGUCUGAUUAGUUUGUUGGUAAGGUAACGGCUUACCAAGACUACGAUCAGUAGGGGGUCUGAGAGGAUGAUCCCCCACACUGGUACUGAGACACGGACCAGACAUCUACGGAUGGCAGCAGUAAGGAAUAUUGGGCAAUGGGCGCAAGCCUGACCCAGCCAUGCCGCGUGCAGGAUGACGACCCUAUGGGUUGUAAACUGCUUUUAUAUAGGAAGAAAAUACUCUUGCGAGAGGAUCUGACGGUACUAUAUGAAUAAGGACCGGCUAACUCCGUGCCAGCAGCCGCGGUAAUACGGAGGGUUCAAGCGUUUUCCGGAUUUAUUGGGUUUAAAGAGUGCGUAGGUGGUUUAUUAAGUCAGUGGUGAAAUCCUGCAGCUCAACUGUAGAACUGCCAUUGAUACUGGUAAACUUGAGUUUGGUUUAGGUAAGCGGAAUUUAUGAUGUAGCGGUGAAAUGCAUAGAUAUCAUGAGGAGCACCAAUAGCGAAGGCAGCUUACUGGACCACAACUGACACUGAGGCACGAAAGCGUGGGUAGCGAACAGGAUUAGAUACCCUGGUAGUCCACGCCGUAAACGAUGCUCACUCGAUGUUAGCGAUAUACUGUUAGCGUCCAAGCUAAAGCGUUAAGUGAGCCACCUGGGGAGUAC